UCGUAGGUGGUUGAAAAGUUAGUGGUGAAAUCCCAGAGCUUAACUCUGGAACUGCCAUUAAAACUUUUCAGCUAGAGUAUGAUAGAGGAAAGCAGAAUUUCUAGUGUAGAGGUGAAAUUCGUAGAUAUUAGAAAGAAUACCAAUUGCGAAGGCAGCUUUCUGGAUCAUUACUGACACUGAGGAACGAAAGCAUGGGUAGCGAAGAGGAUUAGAUACCCUCGUAGUCCAUGCCGUAAACGAUGUGUGUUAGACGUUGGAAAUUUAUUUUCAGUGUCGCAGCGAAAGCGAUAAACACACCGCCUGGGGAGUACGACCGCAAGGUUAAAACUCAAAUGAAUUGACGGGGACCCGCACAAGUAGUGGAGCAUGUGGUUUAAUUCGAAGAUACGCGCAGAACCUUACCAACACUUGACAUGUUCGUCGCGACUCUAAGAGAUUAGAGUUUUCGGUUCGGCCGGACGAAACACAGGUGCUGCAUGGCUGUCGUCAGCUCGUGUCGUGAGAUGUUGGGUUAAGUCCCGCAACGAGCGCAACCCUCACUUUUAGUUGCCAUCAUUAAGUUGGGCACUCUGAAAGAACUGCCAGUGAUAAGCUGGAGGAAGGUGGGGAUGACGUCAAGUCCUCAUGGCCCUUACGUGUUGGGCUACACACGUGCUACAAUGGUAUCUACAACAGGAAGCAAGACUGCGAGGUCAAGCAAAUCCUUAAAAGAUACCUCAGUUCGGAUUGCACUCUGCAACUCGAGUGCAUGAAGCUGGAAUUACUAGUAAUCGUGGAUCAGCGUGCCACGGUGAAUGCGUUCCCGGGUCUUGUACACACCGCCCGUCACACCAUGGGAGUUGGUUCUACCUUAAGGCAAGGUUUCAAACCCUUGACCACGGUAUAAUCAGCGACUGGGGUGAAGUCGU
rnacentral:rRNA from 1 species